rnacentral:rRNA from 1 species
UACGGAGGGAGCUAGCGUUGUUCGGAAUUACUGGGCGUAAAGCGCGCGCAGGCGGUCUUCCAAGUCAGUGGUGAAAGCCCGGAGCUCAACUCCAGAACUGCCCUUGAUACUGGCAAUCUUGAGUCCGGAAGAGGUAAGUGGAACUGCGAGUGUAGAGGUGAAAUUCGUAGAUAUUCGCAAGAACACCAGUGGCGAAGGCGGCUUACUGGUCCGGUACUGACGCUGAGGUGCGAAAGCGUGGGGAGCAAACAGGG